UGCAGGAGUUCCUUUAUAGCUACCAUCUGGUCAGGGCCUGAAGUAGCUACAAUCUCUUUCAUUUGAUUGAUAUGGUUCUCUUUCUCCACGAGAGCUGCCUCCAAUUCUUUCUGAGUAUUGGUGAGAAACCAUAUCCGUACCUCCAGGAGGGCUUGGAGUGACAUGAGCUGCUGCUCGCGUUCCUGGAGGAGGAUGGAGAAGACACGCCGCUCCCUCAUCUUGUGCAGGACGCCGACGCUCAGCGUGGCAGCGCCGAUGGCCAUCAGCAGCAGCAGCAGAUAGGGGAGCCUCUUGGUGCUGCUCAUUGUGUAGCCUCUUGGUUUGUGCUUACCUGCAUCCAUCUCCAUUUUCGUGUGCACCCUCUGACUAGCACCCAUCGAAGAUCUCCAGUCUUGCUCUGUUUAUUGCAGACUGUGACAAACAGCUGUGGCAGUAGUGUGAAGGAACUUGACCUUCUUUUUGGUAGCUUACAUUCUGGAAAGGAAAAGUAACUUGCUUAGGAAC